rnacentral:lncRNA from 1 species
CUUCCUCCCUCCCCUCCCAGUCUGGCACCCAUGAUCCGGGUGGCAAUGACUACCCUCCAAGUAGACUGCCCGCGGGGCCCAAAUGGCUCAGGUCACUUCUCCAUAGCCCCGGGCUCGGAUUCCCAGAGGACCACCGGCGAAGUGGCGUGAAGGAAUGAACUACCUAAUGGAUCGGUGCCCAGCUGAGGACUUUGGACCUCAUCCUGCAGGAAGCCGUGGGCCUGUCCAGAGGAAGGGGACAGCCAGGGGCCUGGAUGGAGUCUUAAAUUCCUUCCUCCUGGAGUCCGCUUCCGGCCCUAGGCCUCGGUUUCCAGGACCCAGGAUCCCCGCCUCCCGAAGCCGGACGUCCCGGAUCUACGCCACCUGGGCGCUGCUGGCCACGGGCAGCCGAGGACCUCGGGUCUCAGCCAGCACCCAGAGCCGCGAAAGCC